GUGAAACAAAACAACGGAAAAAUUGCAUGAAAAAAUAAAUGAUUUGGCAACGUUUUAAAAUUCAAAUUCAGCCACCAGGGGGACUACAGAGUCUGUAUUGCGAAAUCAAUAAAUCAUCCAGAAAUAAGUUGAGCUUGAGCAUCAGGCCAUCAGUGCCAAUCAGCAUGAGGAUUGAGGAAAAACCGUUGGAAAUGUUCUCGCACUCAUACUUGACAGACGUCGUCAAUACGCUACAGAAUCUUAGUUGAAAUUUCGUAAAAUUUUAACAUUUUUCCACCACAGAAUUGUUUUCUUCUUAUAUCAACACGAAGCAUCCAGUUCAUUUCCCUUAAAUGUUGAAGACUGCUUCCAAUUUAUCUUCCUUGCAGCUGGGAUUUGUUUCUACUAAAGAUUAACUUUCUUCCAGCACCAAAACGAAGAAUCGAGUUCAUUUCCCACCGUGUUUGAAGCCUGCUUCCAAUUUUUCUUCAUUGAACUGGGAUUUGUUUUAUUUUUUCAUCAAAUCAGCAGAUUACAGAGGGUUCAACCUACCCAAAGCAUGGGAAGAAAGAAGAAGAACAUGGCUUCCAAAAAGAAAGCUGAGGAAGUAACACACCUGAAUGUGAGGUACAUGGCAAUCCCAAAAAGAAAAGGAAGAUUGAUUCUUUCCUGCUUGAAAUGGCAAACCAGACCGUUGACAACUUGAAGGACUUAAUCGAAGAUGGAUUUCAAACAAUAAUUGCCAACAACUG
rnacentral:lncRNA from 1 species